AGCAGCCGCGGUAAUUCCAGCUCCAAUAGCGUAUAUUAAAGUUGUUGCAGUUAAAAAGCUCGUAGUUGAAUUUUAGGCCUGGCCGGGCGGUCCGUCUUUGGCGAGUACUGUCUGUUGUCGGGUCUUCCUUCUGGUGAACCAAUAUGUCCUUUAUUGGGUGUGUUGGGGAGCCAGGACCAUUACCUUGAAAAAAUUAGAGUGUUUAAAGCAGGCUUUUGCUUGAAUAGAUUAGCAUGGAAUAAUAGAAUAGGACGUUGUGGUUCUAUUUUGUUGGUUUCUAGGACCACCGUAAUGAUUAAUAGGGAUAGUUGGGGGCAUUAGUAUUCAAUUGUCAGAGGUGAAAUUCUUGGAUUUAUUGAAGACUAACUAUUGCGAAAGCAUUUGCCAAGGAUGUUUUCAUUAAUCAAGAACGAAAGUUAGGGGAUCGAAGACGAUCAGAUACCGUCGUAGUCUUAACCAUAAACUAUGCCGACUAGGAAUCGGGCGACGUUAUUUUAAUGACUCGCUCGGCGCCUUAUG
rnacentral:rRNA from 1 species